UUACGGCCACGUCAAGUUGAAACACCGAUUCCCGUAGAAUCACCGACGUUAAGCAACAUCGAGCCUGGUCAGUACCUAGAUGGGUGACCGCUACGGAAUACCAAAUGCUGUA